GACAGAGGUCCCGAGCGUUAGGCGGAAUCACUGGGCUUAAAGCGUGUGUAGGCGGAUUUGUAAGUACCUUGUGAAAUCCCACGGCUCAACCGUGGAACUGCUUGGUAUACUGCUUAUCUUGAGCCACCUAGGGGCAACCGGAACAAACGGUGGAGCGGUGAAAUGCGUAGAUAUCGUCUGGAACGCCGAAGGUGAAAACAGCUCGCUGGGGCUGCGCUGACGCUGAGACACGAAAGCCAGGGGAGCGAACGGG
rnacentral:rRNA from 1 species